rnacentral:rRNA from 1 species
AGUCGAGGGGUAUUGUUCUUCGGAAUGAGAGACCGGCGCACGGGUGCGUAACGCGUAUGCAAUCUACCUUUCACAGAGGGAUAGCCCAGAGAAAUUUGGAUUAAUACCUCAUAGUAUAGUACACUCGCAUGAAUGAACUAUUAAAGUCACAACGGUGAAAGAUGAGCAUGCGUCCCAUUAGCUUGUUGGUAAGGUAACGGCUUACCAAGGCAACGAUGGGUAGGGGUCCUGAGAGGGAGAUCCCCCACACUGGUACUGAGACACGGACCAGACUCCUACGGGAGGCAGCAGUGGGGAAUAUUGGACAAUGGGCGCAAGCCUGAUCCAGCCAUGCCGCGUGCAGGAUGACGGUCCUAUGGAUUGUAAACUGCUUUUGCACAGGAAGAAACACUCGGUCGUGACCGAGCUUGACGGUACUGUGAGAAUAAGGAUCGGCUAACUCCGUGCCAGCAGCCGCGGUAAUACGGAGGAUCCAAGCGUUAUCCGGAAUCAUUGGGUUUAAAGGGUCCGUAGGCGGUUUGGUAAGUCAGUGGUGAAAGCCCAUCGCUCAACGGUGGAACGGCCAUUGAUACUGCCAGACUUGAAUUAUUAGGAAGUAACUAGAAUAUGUAGUGUAGCGGUGAAAUGCUUAGAGAUUACAUGGAAUACCAAUUGCGAAGGCAGGUUACUACUAAUGGAUUGACGCUGAUGGACGAAAGCGUGGGUAGCGAACAGGAUUAGAUACCCUGGUAGUCCACGCCGUANACGAUGGAUACUAGCUGUUGGGAGCAAUCUCAGUGGCUAAGCGAAAGUGAUAAGUAUCCCACCUGGGGAGUACGUUCGCAAGAAUGAAACUCAAAGGAAUUGACGGGGGCCCGCACAAGCG